rnacentral:rRNA from 1 species
AGUGAACGCUGGCGGUAGGCCUAACGCAUGCAAGUCGAACGGCAGCACAGUAAGAGCUUGCUCUUACGGGUGGCGAGUGGCGGACGGGUGAGGAAUACAUCGGAAUCUACUUUUUCGUGGGGGAUAACGUAGGGAAACUUACGCUAAUACCGCAUACGACCUACGGGUGAAAGCAGGGGAUCUUCGGACCUUGCGCGAUUGAAUGAGCCGAUGUCGGAUUAGCUAGUUGGCGGGGUAAAGGCCCACCAAGGCGACGAUCCGUAGCUGGUCUGAGAGGAUGAUCAGCCACACUGGAACUGAGACACGGUCCAGACUCCUACGGGAGGCAGCAGUGGGGAAUAUUGGACAAUGGGCGCAAGCCUGAUCCAGCCAUACCGCGUGGGUGAGGAAGGCCUUCGGGUUGUAAAGCCCUUUUGUUGGGAAAGAAAAGCAGCAGGUUAAUACCCCGCUGUUCUGACGGUACCCAAAGAAUAAGCACCGGCUAACUUCGUG